GAUCAGUGGCUCAGGACGAACGCUGGCGGCGUGCCUAACACAUGCAAGUCGAGCGAGGAGAUUCCUUCGGGAUGAUCCUAGCGGCGGACGGGUGAGUAACACGUGGGCAACCUGCCUCAUAGAGAGGAAUAGCCUUCCGAAAGGGAGAUUAAUACCUCAUAACAUUGCAGUUUCGCAUGAAACAGCAAUUAAAGGAGCAAUCCGCUAUGAGAUGGGCCCGCGGCGCAUUAGCUAGUUGGUGAGGUAACGGCUCACCAAGGCGACGAUGCGUAGCCGACCUGAGAGGGUGAUCGGCCACAUUGGGACUGAGACACGGCCCAGACUCCUACGGGAGGCAGCAGUGGGGAAUAUUGCACAAUGGGGGAAACCCUGAUGCCAGCAACGCCGCGUGAGUGAUGACGGCCUUCGGGUUGUAAAGCUCUGUCUUCAGGGACGAUAAUGACGGUACCUGAGGAGGAAGCCACGGCUAACUACGUGCCAGCCGCGGC
rnacentral:rRNA from 1 species